rnacentral:rRNA from 1 species
UACGUAGGGUGCAAGCGUUGUCCGGAAUUAUUGGGCGUAAAGGGCUCGUAGGCGGUCUGUCACGUCGGGAGUGAAAACUCGGGGCUUAACCCCGAGCCUGCUUCCGAUACGGGCAGACUAGAGGUAUGCAGGGGAGAACGGAAUUCCUGGUGUAGCGGUGAAAUGCGCAGAUAUCAGGAGGAACACCGGUGGCGAAGGCGGUUCUCUGGGCCGUAACUGACGCUGAGGAGCGAAAGCAUGGGGAGCGAACAGG